rnacentral:rRNA from 1 species
UACAGAGGGUGCGAGCGUUAAUCGGAAUUACUGGGCGUAAAGCGUGCGUAGACGGUAGCGUAAGUCAGAUGUGAAAGCCCCGGGCUCAACCUGGGAAUUGCAUUUGAGACUGCUCUGCUCGGGUGCGGAAGAGGGAAGCGGAAUUUCCGGUGUAGCGGUGAAAUGCGUAGAUAUCGGAAGGAACACCUGUGGCGAAAGCGGCUCACUGGACCAUUACUGACGCUGAGGCACGAAAGCUAGGGGAGCAAACAGG